rnacentral:rRNA from 1 species
UGAACGCUGGCGGCGUGCUUAACACAUGCAAGUCGACGGGGUUUUAAAUGGAAGCCUCGGGUGGAAGUUAGAAACUAGUGGCGGACGGGUGAGUAACGCGUGGGUAACCUGCCUCAUACAGGGGGAUAACAGUCGGAAACGAUUGCUAAAACCGCAUAAUAUAGCGAAACCGCAUGAUUUUUGCUAUCAAAUAUUUAUAGGUAUGAGAUGGGCCCGCGUCUGAUUAGCUAGUUGGUGGGGUAAUGGCCUACCAAGGCGACGAUCAGUAGCCGGCUUGAGAGAGUGACCGGCCACAUUGGGACUGAGACACGGCCCAAACUCCUACGGGAGGCAGCAGUGGGGAAUAUUGGACAAUGGGGGAAACCCUGAUCCAGCCGACGCCGCGUGAGUGAAGAAGUAUUUCGGUAUGUAAAGCUCUAUCAGCAGGGAAGAUAAUGACAGUACCUGACUAAGAAGCCCCGGCUAACUACGUGCCAGCCGCCGC